CAAGCAACAGCCCAGUCAAAUACUCUUUUGUUAGCGGUGAGAAUGGAGCUGUCACAACCUAAUUAACCUAAUUAAUUAACGAUAGUAGCCCGAAAAUGACAAUUUAUGUCACGAUGUAGGUUUCCUGAAAGAAAAUGUUGUGCUUAACGUCACCUGAAACUGUCAGAAGUUACCAUCCAGAGAAGGUAUUAAGCUAACGUUAGCGUACUGUUGGCUAACGGUUGACCGUUAUGCGUUAGCUUGUUUAACCUGCCAGCAGUUAUAAUCAACAUUAGCUAACGUUGGCUUGUUUGACAUUAACCUACCUGGUCUCUGAAGGCAGCCGAUGUUCUUCCUCCACCGUUAUUUUUUGAGAUACCACGGGGUCAGGGCGAGUUGAAUCCCAUGUCAGAAUUGUCCCCAUGUUGACCUGCGCCUGACUGGCCUCCCAGCAAAAAGCCCCUGUGAAGAAGGCAAAGAGGGCUACGCUGAUCCGAAGGUGAAAAACAUUCUCCUCCUCCUCCUCCUCUCCCCCAGCUGAACAUCUGUCUCCGUAGUGUUGGCUGCGGCACCGACUCUGACACCUCCAGAUGGAGAGCCCGCUGGAAGCGCUGAGGUAUUACCUACAAAGAUGGCAGGGAUCACACCUCUGGAAUGAAGUCCCACACUUGUUUUCUGCACCGUCCCCUUUUUUGUUGUUGAAUCUGUCACUAUUCACCACAUCGAUUAUCACCUCCCUAGUCCUUGGCCUUGUGACUCGUGCGAAGAGGAAGCUUUUUGCUUAUAAAGAAGUGCAUGACAACAAACCUCUCAGCCCUUUUCUAAUUUACAGUAAUGGGCCGUAUGGUAUUUCAACUGUAACUUCUAUUAGUGGAACUGCAUUAAUUUUUAAUAUAGUUGUGAGAGAAGUGCAUACUCAUGCAGAUAUAUUUCAAAUGGUUGAAUUCCAUUUCCUAGUAACAUGUUUUUCAGAGGCCCUAAAUGUUUUUAGUUUGCACAGACCAGAACAUUGUCUAAAUGGCCUGUAAUCUCUUUAGUCUAAAUAUUAAACGCAAUACCUGCAAAAAUCUAAAGUGAGAGAGGCCUAGAGUUGACUUCUCAAAGCUACUCUGGUGUCUUGACAGAUUGACUCGGCAUUCAUUUGUGCCUGAACUCUGAGUGAACCUCAGCUUUAGGAAAAAAGGGCACCAACAGGCCAGAGCUGCUGGGGCAGAAUGUGUGCACAAACCUAACACCCAGUGCAAAUAUUGAAACUGCUGCCCCUUUAGCAUCAGAUGAAACUAGGUGGUCAGGUCCAGCAAACGUUUAUCUUAAGGAGAAGCCAAAAUGAGCACUGAAAUGUUAAAUUGCUAACUCAGUCCCUCUGUUUUUUAAAAAGAAAUGUGUGUGUUUUAAUUAAAAGUAUUUAACUCAAA